rnacentral:rRNA from 1 species
CCUACGGGGGGCAGCAGUGAGGAAUAUUGGUCAAUGGGCUUAAGCCUGAACCAGCCAAGUCGCGUGAGGGAAGACUGCCCUAUGGGUUGUAAACCUCUUUUGUCAGGGAGCAACGCCGGCUACGUGUAGCCGAACUGAGAGCACCUGAAGAAAAAGCAUCGGCUAACUCCGUGCCAGCAGCCGCGGUAUUACGGAGGAUGCGUGCGUAAUCCGGAUUGAUUGGGUUUAAAGGGUGCGUGGGCGGAAUGCCAAGUCAGCGGGAAAAUCGCGGGGCUCAACCUCGCUCUGCUGUUGAAACUGGCGUGCUUGAGUGUGCGAGAAGUAUGCGGAAUGCGUGGUGGAGCGGUGAAAUGCAUAGAUAUCACGAAGAACUCCGAUUGCGAAGGCAGAAUGCCGGAGCCCAACUGACGCUGAAGCACGAAAGCGUGGGUAUCGAACAGGAUUAGAUACCCCAGUAGUC